rnacentral:ncRNA from 2 species
AAAGUUCUGAGACACUCCGA